UACGGAGGAGGCAAGCGUUAUCCGGAAUUAUUGGGCGUAAAGAGCUUGUAGGCGGUUUGUCGCGUCUGCCGUGAAAAUCCGAGGCUCAACCUCGGACUUGCGGUGGGUACGGGCAGACUAGAGUGUGGUAGGGGAGACUGGAAUUCCUGGUGUAGCGGUGAAAUGCGCAGAUAUCAGGAGGAACACCGAUGGCGAAGGCAGGUCUCUGGGCCACUACUGACGCUGAGAAGCGAAAGCAUGGGGAGCGAACAGG
rnacentral:rRNA from 1 species